AAAAUGAUUCAGAAAGUCGUGAGCUGGUAAACCUGGAAAUGUGCUGUACUUGUAUUUGGCAGCCUCGUGCUCUGGAAGUGAGAAGCCAACAACCACCGUCCAGGGCUUCUCACAGUGAAAGUGGAACGAAGGAGGCGUGUGUUCCAGCUGGGGGCAUAAGUUAGGGCCCGUGCCAGCCACAAAACACAGAGCUUCCAUGCACCAGGUAAAGAGAACUCUGAAGAGAUGUCACCUCAUUUCUCCCCAGCCCUUGCUCAGCCAAAAAGGACCUAUGAUCUCUGAAAGCAGAAGCAGGAAGACUAUUCUCAGAGCAUCUCUCCCUGCAUUGAAUCCAUGUUUGUCUGUAUGACCAAUAAAAU